rnacentral:misc_RNA from 2 species
AAUUCUCAACCUUCCAUGUUUUAUUAGCAUGGUUAGGCUUGGAUGUGGGGGUUGCGGGCUUCAUCAAUGAUGUCGGCUCUCCUUAAAUGCAUUAGCGGAACUUUUGUGGACCGUCUAUUGGUGUGAUAGUUAUCUACGCCGUGGAUGUGAUGCAGCUUUAUGAAGUUCAGCUUCUAACCGUCCAUUGACUUGGACAAUUUUGACA